CCCUUAGAUGUUCUGGGCCGCACGCGCGCUACACUGAUGCAUUCAACGAGCCUAUCCUUGACCGACAGGUCCGGGUAAUCUUUGAAUCUGCAUCGUGACGGGGAUAGAUUAUUGCAAUUAUUAAUCUUCAACGAGGAAUGCCUAGUAGGCGCAAGUCAUCAGCUUGCGUCGAUUACGUCCCUGCCCUUUGUACACACCGCCCGUCGCUCCUACCGAUUGGGUGUGCUGGUGAAAUGUUCGGAUCGGCCGUUUGUCGCGGUUUCCCCGUCAUGUGGCUGAGAAGUUCAUUAAACCCUCCCACCUAGAGGAAGGAGAAGUCGUAACA
rnacentral:rRNA from 1 species